CUAAGGCAUGAGUCUGCAAAACUUCUAUUCGUCG
rnacentral:tRNA from 3 species